rnacentral:rRNA from 1 species
AGGAGCCUAUAUGCAGUCGAGCGGUACAGAGAGUAGCUUGCUACUUUGCUGACGAGCGGCGGACGGGUGAGUAAUGCUUGGGAACAUGCCUUGAGGUGGGGGACAACAGUUGGAAACGACUGCUAAUACCGCAUAAUGUCUACGGACCAAAGGGGGCUUCGGCUCUCGCCUUUAGAUUGGCCCAAGUGGGAUUANCUAGUUGGUGAGGUAAUGGCUCACCAAGGCGACGAUCCCUAGCUGGUUUGAGAGGAUGAUCAACCACACUGGGACUGA